UACGGAGGGUGCAAGCGUUGCUCGGAAUUAUUGGGCGUAAAGGGUAGGUAGGUGGUCUUAUUUGUCUGGGGUGAAAGCCUUGAGCUUAACUCAAGAAGUGCCCCAGAAACGGUGAGACUGGAGUCCUGGAGAUGGUCGUGGAAUUCCCGGUGUAGCGGUGAAAUGCGUAGAGAUCGGGAGGAACACCAGAGGCGAAAGCGGCGACCUGGACAGGUACUGACACUCAACUACGAAAGCGUGGGGAGCAAACAGG
rnacentral:rRNA from 1 species